rnacentral:lncRNA from 1 species
ACAGAAGACGAAGAGCUGGAAUAGAGCUCGCCUCGGCUCUGCUGGCCUUGGCUGCAGCUCUUCCAGAAACCCGGGGCGCCCACAGAAGAAUCUCUUACCUGGCUCUCUCUUCAGGGAUGACAUCAUCGGCUCACACCAGUCUUCCAGGACCACCUUCUGGAUGCCAAGGCUGCUGCUCGAGUACCUGCUGUGCACCUCUACCUCCUGAGCCAAGGAGCACGGAUUCCAGGAACCCACUACCAUACAGAGCAACUCCUUGUGGACCCCCCUGGGAUCAGGACAGCGAGGGACAAGCGACAAAGAGGAUCAUCAGUGGCCAGCUAGUUUCUCUGGGGUUCAAACCUUGAACCAGUGCCCUAGUGAGGGGGCACUGGCCAUGGCCCUUGACCUUUGCUCUGCUUGUGUCUUGAGUCUGAGCCCUUUCCUGUACAUCUGUGCUCGUGUUCAUCUGCUAGUGAACUGGAGUGCUGCCCUCCCCGAGGAGGGUCGUCCCUUGUGACUGAUCAUGCUGUCCUAACAAUGUCCUGAGCAAAAGGGUCCCUUUGGGAACCUCUCAGGAGGGGGACCCGGGUCAGGGGCGACCAGCAUCUUGCUGGCAACUCCGUGGGUGGGGUGGGGUGGGGUGCUUCCUUCUGGAAUGAGCACGUGGCUGACCCCCCAAGGCAUGUCCCCUCCCCCUCCUCCACCCACCUUCUCGGAGAUGUCCCUUUUGGGGUAGUGGGGACAUUAGGAGCAACCUCCUAGGGUUGUUGUGAGAAUUAAAUGAACUGCAGCAGCCUGAGGCAGGGCUGGGCAGAGACCUCAGCACAUGUUUGUUGAAAGGUUUGCAGGUGGAUCUAGUCCUCCCGUUCAUGGCUCAUGUGUCUCAACCAUUCUCUCGCAGACUCCUGCAGCCCCUAUGCCCAGGGCUCUCCUUGCGCCAGCCCCGGCUUCUCGAGGCCUGUCUACACUCGCUGCUUUCCUUCCUCACCUCCAAUUUCCCCUCCAACCCACUGCUUCCUGACUCGCUCUUCUCCAUCGAACGGCUCUCGCUCAGGCCUGUCGCGUCUUCCUGUGCCAUUUGCUGUUGUGCUCAGGUUCCACGAGCUGCCCAUCUCCACAGAAGAGCAGGUGAGGCCGCUGCCUGUCUUCAUGCGUCUGGCAUUGCCCACCGGCCAUGCCGGCUGAAGAAAAGAAGACUGAGGACCCCAGGAUGCCCAGCGCGAGGACCCCAGGAAGCCCAGCGCGAGGACUCCACCCACGACGCCCAGCGCGAGGACUUCACGCACAACACGUUGCAACCCUCCUGGAUUAGGCCAAAGCCAUCAUCUGGAAUCCUGCGUGGGACCCUGGACACACGGACACAGACACCUGCCCCCAGGACCCUCCAACUGUAAAUCGAUUGGAAGCGCCCUUGUGAGCUGGGGCCUUCAAAGGGCUGAGGAGAAAAUGCAGGCCGAGAGACCAGCUUCUCAAAUAGGCUUCAAGCCUCCAUGACCUGAGCUCACCCCCUGGAAAUGUCUGGAAAACAUAAUGGGCAGGUUUUCUGUCUUCAAAGUUUCCAUCAAAACCUCUUCAAGUUCUUUAUUGUUUAGGACUGAGACACUUGGGGACAGUAAUGGGGACUUUCUUUUGUAUCUGUCUUGAAAGGCCAAAAUAUUUUUAUAUUGCUGUAGACAAAGCCACCUAUUUACAAAUGGACUCUUGUUCCGUCGUUUCCCACCAGGAAGACCGUACUAUGUUUGUGUCUCUAUGUAUUCUGGGGUCUUGAAACAGGUUUCUCAUGGGGAUGGCCAUUCACUAGAGCCCAGAGGGGCAGAAGGGGAAGUGUCUACCCUGCCAAGGGGGUCUGGGGAAGGAGGGGGGCUAGUCUCAGAUUUGCUCCUUGUAUGUCUAGGGUAAACCCUGGGAGAAUCUGGUGGUAAAAGAACAUAUGCUGUGUUUGCCCCACAUCUGCCAUUUGUGUGUGUUUCUGGGCUACGGGUUUGCACACUUUGGUGGUUAACAUGGUGGGAGGAAGUAAGAAGGGCCAAGAGGGCACGGGUGCUCUGGUUUUCCUGCUGGGAGGCUGUUUCACUGGUGUGUGUUACAUCACAUAAUGCAUGUUUAGCUGGGUGAGUGACAACAGUAUGAAGGGACAGAGAAACAAAUAGGUGUAGAAAGAGAGUCACAGAGCACACAGUCACCAUUCUGUGCCCAGGCGUUCAUUAAAUGUUCAAUAGAAUGCUGAGCUCUGAUAGACAGAGCGGGCCAUGGACACACUGGUAUUGGGUCAUCAUGGACCUAAGGAGUUUUUUUAAUUGAAGAAGGAAUCUUACAUAACAGAAGAAAGAAUAAGAAGAGCUGUCAAAACGAGCUCUGAGGUUUUUGAAGCCCCUUAAUAUAAACAGACAGACAAUGGCGUGAUCAGGAAAGGGAGAAAACAAACAAACAAACAAACAAGAUGCUUACAGAAAUACGAGAGGACGUGUGAGCAUGCAAAGAGAACCCAGCUAGGUUAGUAUCGGGGUGCUGGUGGAUCGUUAAUCCUGUCUGGGUACCCCAGCUCCAAGGGGAUGAGAGGCAGCAAGUGAGAGGACACAUAGGAAACUGUAACAAGACAGAGGCGAGCAGAUGGGGAGCUUCAGCGGAGUGUUAAGCUAGGCUUCGCAAUCUGACCACUUAACUCUCCCAGCAAA